rnacentral:sRNA from 1 species
UUUACAGAACCUCAUUGAUGUCCAUCACGCAUUACAGUUUCUCAGUCUAACUAAGCCACUAUUUUAUAGUUGCUGUCUUUUUAUGAAAUUCUCUUUAAUUUUUAGAUGUUUAAAUGAUUAGAUAUGUAUGUAUACUCUCUGAUACGAAUUUUCUUUAUUUUUUAUACAGAAACAAGAAACCACAGGACUGCGCCUAUCCCGAACUCUGCGAGCUGUAACCGCAGCCGCUAUCUGAAGAUAUUUUUGCAGACACAAUUACAGGGCGAUUUCAAGUGCUCCAUAAUACAUUCGAUUUCUCGCCCAAUCUUUGAAGAAAAACAUGCCCAAUGAGACCUGUUCCAUAUAAUAUCUAGCUUCUAGCAUACUCUACCAACGGGAAUCAGAGAAUAGAGAGAAUCAGAGAGCGGAGCAUUUGAUAUAACGAAAUACAAGCAGCAUCUUUGAGCCUUCUUCUUCUUCUUCUUCUGGCGCUGCACAUCCCGGCAAAGCAUUAUCUUUUCCUCUAAGUGCCAAAAACGAUGCAGCAGCUGAAUCUCUGGCCACACACCCGCCCUCUAUCUUCAUCAUCGUCAUCGCCAUCGUCAUACACAGAAACUAAAACGGGAGAGCUCUUAAAGAAGGAACAACUUUUGGCCCAGUAAUGGCUUCAUAACACGCAACAUUACAGGGCAAUAGAAGUACGGCGCGGCGUGGAACGGCACGGGGGCGUGGCCGGGCAACUAAAUUUUUGAAGUGAUCCCCGCUUUGGGUAUUGUUGUCUACUGGCUGUGCAACUUCGUAAUUUUCCCACGCUGCGGAAUGUUUCUACACGGAAGACGCAUAAUUAUUGGAUUCGGCUUAUUUCUGGAAAAUGUACAAGUAAGCGCUCAGCAUGGGAUCUCCAACUAACGUCUCCUGUGCCUUGAUGUGCCACAUCAGCUGAUCGGAAACUCGCGAAAGUCCCGCCAGCCCAUCAUUAUGAGCAGCUCGAUGCCCGACGAUGUGAUUGGAAUCGGAGGACUCGCCUCUCCCCUACAGCCAUCGACGGCUUCAGCGAUCACCAAAGAUCAUCUGCUGGUGGCAAUGCUUCAGACGAGUUGCAAAAGCGAGAUCUCAUCGAAGGCGAACUCACGGAACAAUCUGCCGAAAACAGUUUCACUUAAGGAAGCCAUGUGUUGUCGUUGACAAUAUUGUGGUGAAUGUAGCCAUACAUAAUGGCCCGCGCCAGCAUAAAGUAGAUGUCUAACAGGAGACAGCCGCUGUAACAGGAUACUGUAGGCCAGAUAAAUCCAAACCAUCUUCUUCACACGGAUUAGCCUGCUAUUGCCAGGAACAUGCCGGAUGGUCCCCAUAAGGCCAUAGACGCUCAGCUCGUAUCGAUAUAAGGAAGAUGUCGCGAUCUAUCGCGAUCGAUACUUCACCCACGAUCGCGUGCAUCGCGCCAGUGGGUAGUACACCGACAUCAUCUUCCCUGCAGCAACAUGCUUUGCCUCAUCGGCUUUGAACGGCCAUAGCUAUGAUGCCGCUGCUGUGCCGCUGAGUCGACAAUGUGGCGUCCCGUCCGCUACAGGGACAUAAUUUCAGCAACCAAACCAAACAAAUCAAACGCUGGGUAUCAGCUUCGAUACGCAGGACUUAUAUAUCCUACGGCGUAUUCGAGACAGGCCGAGUCCCAGCCAGGCAGAAUCGUCUCCCAUCAGGACAGAAUCGCAUCCCCUGCAAGAGCUCGAACCUAACAAGCCGUCAUCAUCUUUCGACCUGGCC